rnacentral:rRNA from 1 species
AACGAACGCUGGCGGCGUGCCUAACACAUGCAAGUCGAACGAGAAGUGCGUAGUAAUACGUAUUGUAAAGUGGCGCACGGGUGAGUAACACGUGGGUAAUCUGCCCUUGAGUUUGGGAUAACCCCGCGAAAGCGGGGCUAAUACCGAAUAAGACCACGGGGACCAAAGUCCCUGAGGUAAAAGACGGCCUCUAUUUAUAAGCUGUCACUUGAGGAUGAGCCCGCGGCCCAUUAGCUAGUUGGUAGGGUAACGGCCUACCAAGGCGAUGAUGGGUGGCUGGUCUGAGAGGACGAUCAGCCACACUGGAACUGAGACACGGUCCAGACUCCUACGGGAGGAAGCAGUGGGGAAUAUUGCGCAAUGGGCGAAAGCCUGACGCAGCAACGCCGCGUGGGGGAUGAAGGUUCUCGGAUUGUAAACCCCUUUCGAUCGGAACGAAUCUCCUCUUGGUAAAUAAUCAGGAGGAUCGACGGUACCGGGAGAAGAAGCCACGGCUAACUCUGUGCAGCCGCCGCCGUAAAAC